UGAACAAACAGUGUACUGUAAUAUGUAUCACAUUUAUUGUGGCGAAUGCAUUUGAUGAAUUCGUAAUACAAAUGUUUGCAAUUCUCCAGCGAGCAGUGAAUUAACAAGUUCUUUGGUGGCGGCAGUCAAACGAUUAUGUGGGACACUUUGGGCUAAUAAAAUAAAAUCAGACGCACUGAUGUGUCAUCAUUUUGUCGGAGGCAUCUUUUCGUUUGCGGUGAUGGCUUGAAGUUUAACGCUGCUCUGGAUGGAGGGGCUCAUAAAAUGCGAAAUGGCUGAAUUUUUUUUUUAUCUCCUCUCGUCCUCUCACAGGAAAUAAUCUCACUUCCUUUGCCCCUCCGUGUGCUGGCUGUGCAUCUCUUUUGGCAGGAUUUGUCUUCCAAACCCCAAAGACCGUCGGCUUCAUUCUGGGUGUUGUCAUGGCAACCGCACCCCUCCUUUGAACGUCAGAGGCAUGAGCUCGGAGGAUGAAGCUGCAUGCAGCAUCUGUCUCUUGUGCUUCUCGGAGAGCACCUGUCGUCUUUCUGGACUUCAUUUCUGUUUGCGUGCCACUCUGAGAGCUGCGACGGUCCGUCUUGCCCCGUGCUGACGGAUUUGACUGCGGACCCGAGCCGCACACCUUCACGUGCCGGUCCGGCCGUGUGCACAGACCCGCUUCUUCCGCCUCAGCCGUUUCGGACCCGCCCCACCUCCGAAGCCCCCAGCCAUGUCGUGGUUGUUCUUGGACUGGUUUGUGCCACUCUACCUGCUGGUUUCAGUCUUGGUGCUGGCGGGCUUCGGAGCGUGCCUGUACUUCCUGGAGCCCGGGCUGCACGACACACACAUGUGGAGCAAAAAAAGCACCAGACAUCGCCCACUGGUGGCAAGUGUGAACUGCAGAGAUGAUGACACGGAUGCUCUCAUUUGAUCCCAUGGGAGGGCUGGGUGGGGGGGAGGGGGGCUUCAACAAUGGAAAGAGGAGGGAUGAUCUGAUAAGCCUUAUCCCAUCACAACAACUUUUCUCUGAUCCCAAGCAUAUUGUGUUGUUUUUUUUUUCCCGGGGUGAAUCAGACUGAAGUGAAACAGAUGAGUUUGACUGUAAAUGAUGCCAGAACGAGAUUGUGGAGGGGCAUGAUGGCCUUUGAUAGGCUUGAUGUCAACAUGCCAUUGUCCAUUUGUGCCAUUUUUUAACAUGCGCUGUUGUUUUUUUCUUUUUGUUUGUUUGGGCUACCAUUUCAAGUGUAGUGUAUAAUGGUUUUGAUUGAGUUCUUCCUAUUUUUCAAGUGGCAUAUAAGACACUUGCGGCAACCUUGCAUAAUCCAUCAAGAGCCAGUACUUAUCUUUUAUUUUUACACCCGUCUACCAUUGCUUUAGAGAUUUGUUUUGCACAUAAAACAGCUCACAGUUUUAUUGGGAUCAUAUUCAAAAACAGAUUCAUCUCAAUAAAUGUGUUGGUUGUAGAAAGGUUUAU